rnacentral:rRNA from 1 species
GAUUAAGAGCUUGCUCUUAUGAAGUUAGCGGCGGACGGGUGAGUAACACGUGGGUAACCUGCCCAUAAGACUGGGAUAACUCCGGGAAACCGGGGCUAAUACCGGAUAACAUUUUGAACCGCAUGGUUCGAAAUUGAAAGGCGGCUUCGGCUGUCACUUAUGGAUGGACCCGCGUCGCAUUAGCUAGUUGGUGAGGUAACGGCUCACCAAGGCAACGAUGCGUAGCCGACCUGAGAGGGUGAUCGGCCACACUGGGACUGAGACACGGCCCAGACUCCUACGGGAGGCAGCAGUAGGGAAUCUUCCGCAAUGGACGAAAGUCUGACGGAGCAACGCCGCGUGAGUGAUGAAGGCUUUCGGGUCGUAAAACUCUGUUGUUAGGGAAGAACAAGUGCUAGUUGAAUAAGCUGGCACCUUGACGGUACCUAACCAGAAAGCCACGGCUAACUACGUGCCAGCAGCCGCGGUAAUACGUAGGUGGCAAGCGUUAUCCGGAAUUAUUGGGCGUAAAGCGCGCGCAGGUGGUUUCUUAAGUCUGAUGUGAAAGCCCACGGCUCAACCGUGGAGGGUCAUUGGAAACUGGGAGACUUGAGUGCAGAAGAGGAAAGUGGAAUUCCAUGUGUAGCGGUGAAAUGCGUAGAGAUAUGGAGG